GCUGGCUGUGCGUGGGAAUACUCUUUGUAGCCAAACCAGUUUGUGCUGCUUCACGUGUUUGUGACACUACAGCUUCCCGGUUUUCACUUCAGCUCCCAGAUCCAUCAGACUGGAACCAGAACACCAGACAGCAGCAAUGUCCGGGUGGUCUCUAGUCACAGCCAAUGCACCAGAUGAACUCACUCCCUUCAGAGGAGUUUGGCAGAAAAAUAAUUAAACCAGCCUUAAAAAGUGAGUGGUACCAGCACGCUUUCAAAUGGAACCACAUUUGGUGACAAGGUUGAUGUCAUUGUGUGGCAUGGAUUGUAUACUCAUCUGUGGCCUGGAUUCUGCAAAGGUGAAGUGGCAGAAUUUUGGGAGAGAAAAAUGCCGAAGUAUGAAGACACAAAAAAAUG